CCUACGGGAGGCAGCAGUAGGGAAUUUUCGGCAAUGGGGGGAACCCUGAUCGAGCAACGCCGCGUGAAUGAAGAAGUUUUUCGUUAUGUAAAGCUCUUUCAACAGGGAAGAAAGAGAACUUUGAUGGUACCUGAAGAAUAAGCUCCGGCAAACUACGCGCCAGCAGCCGCGGUAAUACGUAGGGAGAGAGCGUUAUCCGGAAUUAUGGGGCGUAAGGGGUGCGUAAAUGGCAUAGUAAGUCUUUGGCAAAAACGCUGGCCUAAACCCAGUAUGGCAAAAGAUACUGCAAAGCUAGAGUAUGACAGAGGCAAGUGGAACUACAUGUGUAGCGGUAAAAUGCGUAGAUAGAAGUAGGAACACCAGUGGCGAAGGCGGCUUGCUGGAUCGAUACUGACGUUGAGGCUCGAAAGCGUGGGGAGCAAACAGGAUUAGAUACCCCAGUAGUC
rnacentral:rRNA from 1 species